rnacentral:rRNA from 1 species
UGGUGGAGUGAUUUGUCUGGUUAAUUCCGUCAACGAACGAGACCUCGACCUUGUUAAAUAGUUCGGCGUAUCCCUGUGAUACGUACGUGACUUCUUAGAGGGACUAUUGUGUGUGUAGCCAAUGGAAGUUCGAGGCAAUAACA